rnacentral:lncRNA from 1 species
GGUUUCUAUCGCUCAAUUACCCGAUUCAGGAUUAAAAAGACGAAACUACCCCUAGAUAUUUCGUCUGCCAAGAAGGAAGGUCAGGGGUAAAAUCAUAAUUUACAUGGCCAAUAUAAAUACCCUUCUUACCCCGAAAUCAGCCAUUUUAAAACCCUAGCUUCCUCUCUCUUUCCCUCAAUCCUCUCCCUUCUCUCUACACUCUUUCACCGUCGGCGACGGCGCCGCCGCCGUCGCUCCUCAUCCUCCUUCCUUUUUUCUUCUUCUUCUCUGCCUCCGCCUCCGGCGGCGUCCCCUCACUUUUUUCCUUUCCUUCUUUUCUCUCUUCUUCUUCUUCCUCUCCGCCUCCGGCGACGCCGCCCCUAUUUUUCUUCUAUUUUUUCUCCGGCGACGGCGGUAGAGCCGCCGCCGCCUCCAUCUCCUUCUCUUUUACUUCCUCGCCGACGGCGACGGUCGCCGCCGCCUCCGCCUCCUCUCUUCUCCCACAACGAAAAAGGAAGGAAAAAAAAAGGAAGAAAAGGUAAAAUUGAUAGUAUUAUUGUUUUCACUUCAAUUCGGUCUUGCAUGUCGUCUGCAAACCACGAUGUGUAGAACUACGAUAUGAGUUUUUGGUUUUUUUGUUUUUUCUUUAAUUUCUGUUGUCCUUAUGUUGGUUUCUGUUUUCAAUAUAGAUGGGGAUCGAUGGAAAAGAAGAGAAGAGGACCCGACCGUCGCCGACACGGCCGGUGGUCGCAACGAAGAAGCUGACUGAAAGAAGAGGGUUAGGUAUUGUUUUAUCUUCUCCCUUUUUAGUUUAAUUUGCUUCGAAAACAGAAAGAAAAGAGUCUGAUUUUCUAUGUUUAUUUCGGAUGACGAACAAAUAGAGAUUUCGAAUUAAUUCACUGGAGGAGAUCGGCCAAAAGAGGAAAGACAGCUUCUGAAAGGUAAAACACUUCAACCCUAAAUGUUCCACUUUUGCUUGGUAUAGUUACUGCUUUAUCAUUGAUUAAGGUUGAAACAUGUAGAUUAAAAUGUGAAAAUUUGACUAUCCUGCUAUUAAAACGAAUUCCGUAAUAAAAAUGAUUUAUUGGUUUGAAAAAUUUGAUCAUUUGGCCUCUUUCAACAAAAUUUCAGCAAAAUUAUUAGAAGAAAAUGUCCUUGUUUUGUUUGAUUGUAGUGUCAUAUGUUAAGUCUUUGUAUGGUAUUUGAGUUUAGAUGUUGACGGUGUUAAAAUUGAUUGAAAUCGACCAUUUGAAUCUUUUUAAUCAUGUUUUCUAGCAAGCUUUCAUUUGGUGAAAACAGUCUUUACUUUUUUAUAUUACUGUUUAAGUGAGUUCUUCGGAUUAUUUAGUUUUGAUGAUUAUUAGAUUAGAAAAGGGUUUAUGACAUGAGCAAUGGAAACAGAGAUAUGAUUUGAAAAUUGGGAAGAUGUUUUGUUUAGGAGGACCAACCUUCGAAAGCUGAUUUGUUCUUCUUUUGCAGUGUUGAUGGCCCUUUGGUUGCUGGCUCCGAGAACUUGGAAAUUCGGAAGCUUCGAAUCCCCAAAGUUUCGGCUAGAAGAGCUUUGUAUUUUCUGUUUAUUUUUGCCAAUUUUCUUUUGUAAUGAGAUUGUGUGUAAUAUGAUUGGGGCGUAGUGGUAAUGGGGUGUAGAGAGAUUGCUUGUGGUGGGAUUGGGGUUGGUGUUUUUCGUUGUAAUCGGUCGGUCCUCCCUUUCUAUCCUCCCCCUCUCGAAAGAAAUUCGAUGGUCCUUUUAAAUGAACAAAGGGGGCUCCCACCUCCCUUGAAAACAAAUCACAACUCAACACCCAUGCUCUGACUUAAAAGAGAGGUGGCAGCUUCUCAGAAAUCGGGCCUGAAAUCGGGCCUGAAAUCGGGCCUGAAAAAAAUCACGUAAAAUAGAGCUACGAAAUAACUAAAUAAACUCGAGGACCCGGACAAAAUUUGGUUACCACAAAUGGUUGCCUGAAUCAAUGACUAAGUAGUACGACAAGGGUAAGUGGACGAAGCCGAGAGAAAUCAUAUCAGUCUCAGUACCAGAAACCGCUGCGACCACUACCGGUACGGGUGCAUCAGAGCCUUGAAAGGGACAAUGUACAUAUAAGGCUGUUAUCCCUUGCCUGGGUGGAGAGUACGAAGGGAUGGUAGAUAUCUCCGGUUUUAGGAAGCGAUAUAGGGAAGGGAU